rnacentral:rRNA from 2 species
AAUCCAUAGGUUAAUGAGGCGAACCGGGGGAACUGAAACAUCUAAGUACCCCGAGGAAAAGAAAUCAACCGAGAUUCCCCCAGUAGCGGCGAGCGAACGGGGAGGAGCCCAGAGCCUGAAUCAGCAUGUGUGUUAGUGGAAGCGUCUGGAAAGGCGCGCGAUACAGGGUGACAGCCCCGUACACAAAAGCGCAUGUGCUGUGAGCUCGAUGAGUAGGGCGGGACACGUGGUAUCCUGUCUGAAUAUGGGGGGACCAUCCUCCAAGGCUAAAUACUCCUGACUGACCGAUAGUGAACCAGUACCGUGAGGGAAAGGCGAAAAGAACCCCGGCGAGGGGAGUGAAAAAGAACCUGAAACCGUGUACGUACAAGCAGUGGGAGCCCCACCACCAAAGCAUUUGCUGUACCGCGUUGACGGAGCGAAGCGACGUCAAACCGAUAAAACAGCAGUGUAAAGUGAGCCGCAGGGCGCUUUGCGCGACAGCGCAA